UACGUAGGCAGCGAGCGUUGUUCGGAGUUACUGGGCGUAAAGGGUGUGUAGGCGGUUGUUUAAGUUUGGUGUGAAAUCUCCCGGCUCAACUGGGGAGGGUCACGCGAUACUGAUCGACUCGAAGGCAGGAGAGGGUAGUGGAAUUCCCGGUGUAGUGGUGAAAUGCGUAGAUAUCGGGAGGAACACCAGUGGCGAAGGCGACUACCUGGCCUGUUCUUGACGCUGAGGCGCGAAAGCUAGGGGAGCAAACGGG
rnacentral:rRNA from 1 species